GUGACUCGAGCGUAUUGGCAUUCAAGGCUGACGUGCCACGGUGGACGGACAAAAAGAAAACGUGAAAAUUGUUUUCUGGCGUUCAUUUAAAAACCCAUACCGGCAGCCAUACACACAAGGUGACGAUGUCUCUCUCCAAGACUGGGAUGUUCGUUUUACUGACGAUGGCUAUUUUUUUCACAACUGACAUUUACGCUAUGACACCAUGUGGCAGCGCGUGUCGUAUUUCUCAGGCUGGAAUGGUGACAAGCUGUCCCAGAGGCUGCAAAUGCGUUACGGAGACCAAAAGCAGCUUCGGAGGCGGCACAGGGAUAUGUCAACCGACUUUCUAGCUGACACGGACUAUCUAGACCCCUACAUUUGUUUUUGCCAUCUGGCACAAGUAAACGAAGGAAUGAAGAAAGACAUGAAGAACGGACAUAACCUAGACGUCACCCUCUUGCUUGCGUGUUGCUGUGUCUUCCACAAACGCAGUGUUCGUUGUUCUUGCUUGAAUUUUUUAAAAACAGAACCUGGCCAUAACUAACACCGGCAAUAAAAUCUUGCAGCUCCCGUGACCCGCACAGGAAUCCUUGAGCAAAAUAGAAAAUGGAGCGGUUUGGUAUAAAUACAAAAUUUUUAAACUGUAGCGCUAGAAACACAUUGCAAGAAAAAAGGAACA